GAUGAACGCUGGCGGCGUGCCUAAUACAUGCAAGUCGAGCGAACAGACGAGGAGCUUGCUCCUCUGACGUUAGCGGCGGACGGGUGAGUAACACGUGGAUAACCUACCUAUAAGACUGGGAUAACUUCGGGAAACCGGAGCUAAUACCGGAUAACAUGUUGAACCGCAUGGUUCAACAGUGAAAGACGGUUUUGCUGUCACUUAUAGAUGGAUCCGCGUCGCAUUAGCUAGUUGGUAAGGUAACGGCUUACCAAGGCAACGAUGCGUAGCCGACCUGAGAGCGUGAUCGGCCACACUGGAACUGAGACACGGUCCAGACUCCUACGGGAGGCAGCAGUAGGGAAUCUUCCGCAAUGGGCGAAAGCCUGACGGAGCAACGCCGCGUGAGUGAAGAAGGUCUUCGGAUCGUAAAACUCUGUUAUUAGGGAAGAACAAAUGUGUAAGUAACUAUGCACGUCUUGACGGUACCUAAUCAGAAAGCCACGGCUAACUACGUG
rnacentral:rRNA from 1 species